CCUACGGGAGGCAGCAGUGAGGAAUAUUGGUCAAUGGGAGGAAUCCUGAACCAGCCAUGCCGCGUGCAGGACGACGGCUCUACGAGUUGUAAACUGCUUUUGUACCGGGGUAAAAUGCCUUACGUGUAGGGUUUUGAAAGUACGGUACGAAUAAGAAUCGGCUAACUCCGUGCCAGCAGCCGCGGUAAUACGGAGGAUCCGAGCGUUAUCCGGAUUUAUUGGGUUUAAAGGGUGCGUAGGUUGUUUUAUAAGUUAGCGGUGAAAUACCGAUGCUCAACAUCGGGGCUGCAGCUAAGACUGUAGGACUAGAGAUCGGAUGCAGCAGGCGGAAUGUGUAGUGUAGCGGUGAAAUGCAUAGAUAUUACACAGAACACCGAUUGCGAAGGCAGCUUGCUAGGCCGGAUCUGACACUGAUGCACGAAAGCGUGGGGAUCGAACAGGAUUAGAUACCCCUGUAGUC
rnacentral:rRNA from 1 species